GACGAACGCUGGCGGCGUGCUUAACACAUGCAAGUCGAACGGAAAGGCCCCUUCGGGGGUACUCGAGUGGCGAACAGGUGAGUAACACGUGAGUAACCUGCCCUUGACUUCGGGAUAACUUCAGGAAACUGGGGCUAAUACCGGAUAGGAAUCCUUGCUGCAUGGUGGGGGUUGGAAAGCUUCGGCGGUUUUGGAUGGACUCGCGGCUUAUCAGCUUGUUGGUGGGGUAGUGGCUUACCAAGGCUUUGACGGGUAGCCGACCUGAGAGGGCGACCGGCCACAUUGGGACUGAGAUACGGCCCAGACUCCUACGGGAGGCAGCAGUGGGGAAUAUUGCACAAUGGGCGGAAGCCUGAUGCAGCAACGCCGCGUGCGGGAUGACGGCCUUCGGGUUGUAAACCGCUUUCAGCAGGGGCGAAGCUUGUGGUGACGGUACCUGCAGAAGAAGCACCGGCUAACUACGUG
rnacentral:rRNA from 1 species